AGAAGGGAUGCGAUCCAGAACUCUUCCUCCUGGGAUGGGGUCUGGGUCACAUCACCAGACUGGAAAGCUAAGCCCCAGGAAGGUCAAAGAGCUCAUCCAGCGUCACCGAGCCGGAAAGUAGGCGAGAUUUGGAUCAGGUGUACCUGACUUCUGACCUAAGUUUCUUAUCACCGUGUUUCCCAAAUGUCCACCCACACACCACCUCCGCCACCAUGUGGCAACACCUGCCCACACCCGCCCACGUCUGCCUACUGUGAGUCUUUAGUUCAGGGUCAGACACCUCUUUCUGGAAAGGGCUGUGUUGUAGAGUCAACUUCUGAACGAUGACUGGUGGAUUGACCAUCAAACGUCCCGGCACUAACUGGUCACCAUUGUCCUAGAGCCAAGGCAAUCAAAACACAGCAUUGAUUCCUUCCUUCAGUCACCAAGCAUCUACCAGAGCUUACCAUGUCCUACUCACUUGCUAAAUGCUGGGGAUACGAUGAUAGCAGGUGCAGUCGUGGCCUCUGCCUGGAGAAGCCAGUGGUCCUUUGGGAGACAAACAGUAAUUGCUAACCUGUUUAGGCGAGAGCAUCAUGAAAACCAUGCGGUGGCACAGGGGUAAGAGGGAGAGAAAGAGGAAGAAGAGGAGGAGGAGGAAGAAGGAGGAGGAGGAAGAGAAGGUGGAGAAGAAGAGGAGGUGAAGACGGAGAUUCACUUCAUUUUUUGGCUCUCCCUACCCUAAACAUGAGUCAGACCUAGAGGCAAGGGGUAGGGAACCCAUUGACAUCUGAGUUGAUGGUAAGAGGGUUGCUGCCACUCUGGGAGCCUUUCACAGAUGUGUAUGAAAUCCACAUUGAUGUAUAGCAGGAGGGAAUGAACCUGGCUCUGUGCCCAGGAGAACCAGAGCAUAUGCCCAAGGCAGAGUAUUUUCAAGGCCCCAUACAGGGCAGGGAUGAACUGUCCUUUUGAUACCCCAUCCUUUCUCUUGUAUUUUCUUAAAAUAAACACAUGGAAGAGCAGAUCAGGGAGCUCUGAAGGGGACAGAGAAGAAUGGGUAGAAAGUAGCACCUGGUUUUCUGCAUAUGGCUAGACAGUUUUCCCAAUACCAUUUAUUAAAUAAAAAAUCCUUUCCCCAGUACUUAUUUUUGUCAGGUUUGUCAACGAUCAGGUGGCUGUAGAUGUGUGGCAUUAUUUCUGAGGCCUCUGUUCUGUUCCAUUGAUCUAUAUAUCUGUUUCAGUACCAAUACCAUGCUGCUUUGGUUACUGUAGCUUAGUAGUAUAGUGUGAACCAUGGUAGCACGAUGCCUCCAGCUUCGUUCUUUUUGCUUAGGAUUUUCUUGGCUAUAUGGGCUUUUUUUUUCAUUCCAUAUGACAUUUAAAGUAGUUUUUUUCUAAUUCUGUCAAUGGUAGCUUGAUGGGAAUAGCAUUGAAUCUAUAAAUUACUUUGGGAAAUGUGGCCAUUUUCAUUAUAUUGAUUCUUCCUAUCCAUGUUUUUCCCUUUGUUUGUGUCCUCUCUUAUUUCCUUGAGCAGUGGUUUGUAGUUCUCCUUGAAGAGGUCCUUCACAUCCCUUGGAAGUUGUAUUCCUGGGUAUUUUAUUUCCUUUGUAGCAACUGUGAAUGGGAGUUCACUCAUGAUUUGGCUGUCUAUUAUUGGUGUAUAGGAAUGCUUGUAAUUUUUGCAGAUUGAUUUUGUGUCUUGAGACUUUGCUGAAGUUGCUUAUCAGCUUAAGGAGAUUUUGGGCUGAGGUGAUGGGGUUUCUAAAUAUAUAGUCAUGUCAUCCGCAAACAGAGACAAUUUGACAUUCUCUCUUCGUAUUUAAAUACCUUUAUAUUGCCCUGGCCAGAACUUCCAAUACUACAUUGAAUAGGAGUGGUGAGAGAGGGCAUCCUUGUCUUGUGCCGGUUUUCAAAGGCAAUGCUUCCAGCUUUUGCCCAUUCAGUAUGAUAUUGGCUGUGGGUCUGUCAUAAACAGCUCUUAUUAUUUUGAGAUACGUUCCAUCAAUACUAUUUUAUUGAGAGUUUUUAGCAUGAAAGGAUGUUGAAUUUUAUCACAGAUCUUUUUUUUCUAUUAUCUAUUGAGAUAAUCAUGAGGUUUUGGUCAUUGGUUCUGCUUGUGUGAUAGACUGCGUUUAUUGAUUUGCGUAUGUUGAACCAGUCUUGCAUCCAAGGGAUGCAGGCAACUUGAUCAUGGUGGACAAGCUUUUUGAUGUGCUGCUGGAUUUGGUUUGCCAGUAUUUUAUUGAGGAUUUUCACAUUGAUGUUCAUCAGGGAUAUUGGCAUGAAAUUUUCUUUUUUUGUUGUGUCUCUGCCAACAAGAUUGAAAACCUGACUUAGUAGUAUGCACCUGUAACAAUAACUGAGUGUUGGCCAAUCCCAGUACCCACAUGUCAACCACUCAUAGACUGCAGAGUGUUCAAACUGUGUCCAAAUAAGGCAAAUGCUGAGCUAUAAUCAACCCCUCUGUUUCUGUACCUCAUUUCCAGUAUCUGUAUAUCACAUCCCUUUUUUGUUUAGAAAUUUGUUCUGACCACGAGGCACCUCUGGAGUUGCUCCGAAUCUGCUGUGAUUCUAGAGGGUGUCCAGUUCACAAAUCAUUCAUUUCUUUUUUUUCUCAAUUAAACUCCAUUAAAUUAAAGAAGGAAAGAAAGAGAAAGAAAUAAAGCAAUAAAGCAAGCAAGCAAGCAAGCAAGAAAGAAGCACCUGUGAGACUUUCUGUUCUGCCCCCAUUAGCCAUGUGAUUUCAGCACAUUCUUCAACUUCUUUGGGUCUGAGUCUCUAAUUUGUCAUUUUGGGGGCAAGACUAGCUGACCCUUAAGGUCCCUUUUAGCAUUUCUAUGAGAGGAUCCCGUG